CCCUGGGGGUCUAGUGGUUAGGCCACAGUUCUCUCACUACUGCGACCUGGGUUCAAUUCCCAGCCACUGGGGU